AUGAAUUGCUUAAGCUGGAAUUGUCGAGGGGCGGGGAACCCUCGCACAGUUCGUGAUCUCGCGGCUCUUGUGACCGCCCAUUCCCCAAAGUUUGUUUUUUUGUGUGAAACGAGAUAGCCUAGAGAUAAAAUGUUUUGUGUUCGUUCUCGUUUAGGUCUUUCAGGUUUUGAAGGAGUCAGUAGUGAAGGUAUGAGUGGAGGUAUUGCUUUAUUU
rnacentral:rRNA from 1 species